rnacentral:rRNA from 1 species
GAUGAACGCUAGCGGCAGGCUUAACACAUGCAAGUCGAGGGGUAGAGUUAGCUUGCUAACUUGAGACCGGCGCACGGGUGCGUAACGCGUAUGCAAUCUACCUUUUACAGAGGGAUAGCCCAGAGAAAUUUGGAUUAAUACCUCAUAGUAUCUUUGCCUGGCAUCAGGUGAUUAUUAAAGUUCCAACGGUAAAAGAUGAGCAUGCGUCCUAUUAGCUAGAUGGUAAGGUAACGGCUUACCAUGGCAACGAUAGGUAGGGGUCCUGAGAGGGAGAUCCCCCACACUGGUACUGAGACACGGACCAGACUCCUACGGGAGGCAGCAGUGAGGAAUAUUGGACAAUGGGCGCAAGCCUGAUCCAGCCAUGCCGCGUGCAGGAAGAAGCAUCUAUGGUGUGUAAACUGCUUUUGUACGGGAAGAAACACUCCCUCGUGAGGGAGCUUGACGGUACCGUAAGAAUAAGGAUCGGCUAACUCUGUGCCAGCCGCCGCGUAAGAC